GGUACAUUGAUCUAAGCAGUCAGUGGAUGCGGGGAAUGAUAAACAGCGGGGGGUAAAAAAUGACAGCUGGUGAGUCGGCUGGCUGGCGAUGUUCUUUCCCCUCCGCUGAUUAAUGUCGUUUCCAUGGUACGAUUAUAGUUUUGUUAUGUUUUGGAAAACAAAUUGAAAAUGUGUGCAGUAGAAAAGACUUAUUCCGAGUACAAAAAAUUGUUUUAGACUAUCGUGAUCGUGCAUUUAAACGAAAUUUAUGGGCUCUGCAUGGACUAAUUCUAUCGCUGCUAAUCUGGUGUACAAUGGAAGAUUUUAGCUUGUUUAAGGCAUCAUGAGGCCAUUGCAUUGUGCUGUACUCCGUUUUAUUUCACUUUUUAUUGCAACGGUGAAAGACAAAAUGGAGCCCAAAAAUCACUGAAAUGGUGUCCUAUUUUGAACGUUUUUCGAUUAAAUAAUUAUCCAUAUA
rnacentral:lncRNA from 1 species